rnacentral:tRNA from 1 species
UCCCGCUACCAAGCCCCGGGG